rfam:Ovis aries breed Texel chromosome 17, whole genome shotgun sequence.
UGGCUCAGAGGUUAAAGCCUCUGCCUGCAAUGCAGGAGACCUGGGUUCAAUCCCUG